rnacentral:rRNA from 1 species
AUGCAAGUCGAACGGUGUCCGCAAGGGCAUAGUGGCAAACGGGUGAGUAACACAUAAGUAACCUGUCCUCGAGUGGGGAAUAACCCGCCGAAAGGCGGACUAAUACCGCAUACGAUAGCUUCCCGAAAGGGAGGUUAUGAAAGCCGCAAGGCGCUGGAGGAGGGGCUUGUGCCCGAUUAGCUAGUUGGUGGGGUAACGGCUUACCAAGGCUAUGAUCGGUAGCUGGUCUGAGAGGAUGGUCAGCCACACUGGGACUGAGACACGGCCCAGACUCC